rnacentral:lncRNA from 1 species
GGCUAAUUUUUUUCUAUUUUUAGUAGAGACGGGGUUUCACCAUAUUGGUCAGGCUGGUCUUGCACUCUUGACCUCGUGAUCCGCCUGCCUCAGCCUCCCAAAGUGCUGGGAUUACAGGCAUGAGCCACCACACCUGGCGGGUUUGGAAUUUAGACAGCAGGAGUGGCUUGUCUCUGCUGCAUGACAGCUGGGGCUGUGACCACUGUGGGUAACGCAGCAGCUGGGGUGUAUUAUGGUCUAACGGCUCCUUUCCUUAUAUGUCUAACCCUGGCCUGGAGCACUGGAGGAUGAGGUCCGCUGACUGCAGCGUCCAUCCUGGUCCUCCCCAGGCACUGUGGCCUCCCUCACAGCAUGGCUGCCUUGGGUACUCGGACUUCACGUGGAAGGCCAGGGCUCCGAGAGCAAAUGCCCCAGCAAGACAGAAGCUCAGCCGCCUUUGAUGACCUAGAAGCUAGGCAGCAUCCAUUGUACUGCCUUCUAUGGGUUGUGAGUGAGUCCCAAACCUGCCUUGACUCAAGGAAACGGAAUUAGGCUCUACGUCUUGACUAGGUAGUGGCGAAGUUCUGGAAGCACAUGAGUAGGAGAUACUGUGACGGUUUCAUCUUUGGAAAAUACCAUCUAGCACACCUGAAUCUGCUUUCAGGGGGUGUAAGGGGAUUUCCAUGGCAAAAUUUGAAGCCACAUGUGGUCACUGCUUUGUACUGAGGAAACAAAGUGCUCUGGGCAUCCAGAAAGGGGGUACGUUUUUUCUUACUGGGAUAAAUCUGGCUGCAUUUUAGCUAAUCCUGGAAAAUUGAUCGACAAAAGCAAAGGACCAAGAAAGCUGCUUAUAUCAGUGUCUCCUCCACCCUCAGCCUCCAGUAGCAUCCCUACGUUUUACAAUUUUAUUUAUGUCACUUUAAAUAAGGACAUUGAGAGGGAAAAGGCCUCAUCGACAUACCAACUACAGGCCAGGUGGACCUUCGGUGCACACACACCCCAGCGCCCACAGAGAUCCAGGCCUCCUGUGUAUGAAUGUGUGCCAUGAAUUUAGACCUAUUUCUCGCCUUCCGGGCUCUCUAUUCCUCAUCCUCCAUCCAAGUGGCCAUCUUGUGCAGUGCAUCCUCUGCAAUUUGAGGUGACCCUCUUCUCCAGCUGCUGCUGCAGAACCCCAAGUGUGGUCCCCACACCCCCUCACGGUACACUUCAGCAGGAAGGUGCUUCUGCGUCCCCCUGUCCUCAUCCUCCACUGCAGCUGUCCUGCUUCAUCUCUUCCUCCUGGACUCAGGUUGGCCUUGGGCCCUGCUCCAAAAGGAGCACAUUCACCACAGCUUCAGACUUCCUCCUGCUGCCGCUGCUCCUCGGAAGCAAACCUGGUGACUGCUGAUGUCCAGGCCUAGACCAUGCCUGGCAGAGCAGCCAUGGGGUGGAGAAACAAGUCCUCAAGAGGGCUGCGAGGAGAGGCACAGAGACGGUCAGGGAAACUGAGGUCACACAACUGGGAAUAAGAAGGUGGGGUGCUGGGGGGCUUGUCAAUGUGGUUCUUCCACAGAGGAUGGAAAGCCCCUUCAUUUCUGCCCAAGAAAGUAUCUUCAGCAUUCACCGAAAUCUCCCCAAGAGGGAAGCGCCGCAGGAAGGGGAACUAGGAAGGAAAUACAAGCUGGUGCUUACUCCAUCCCCGUCACAAAGAGGCUCAGAGAGAGACUUGGGAACGAUAUGCAUAUGCAAUUUUUUAAAUCACUCAUUCAAGAAAUAAUAAUGAAAAAUGAGUUAUAGGCAAUGGAUUAGUAAGUGCUGAUCAGAUUGACUAUGUAAGUGAAUUACAUUCAAAUUACAUGUGAAGGAGCUCUAUCAAGGGCAAUUAUGGGUCCUUCGAGAGGCUUUAAAAAGAGGAGGGAUGAAACUUGGUUAAAAUGGGGGCUCGUUAAAGGCAAGAGGAGUACAGAAUGGUUGAGGUAACUUUCUCUGUGCCCCACUGUCAGCCCUGCUCUGCCAAGCAGGCUUGCAGGUGGGGAUAUUUGCUUGCUCUGGGUUCAGCAAGUCCUUGUGCUGCCUUGCCUAACCUGCUUCCGAGGUAUCGGGUUUUAAGCUGGUGUGGCAAGAAUGAUAUUGGCCUUUGUGUUCUAAAGGAGUGGCAUGAAGCACAGUGGACCUUGAUCUUCAAUUGACGCCACAGUCUCCCUAAUCCACUGAUCUCCAAUCAUCCCACUAGAUUAGCCACCCUAUCAGGCAGUAUUUUUCCAUGUCCCAUGUGCUCAAGGACGAAGCUUUAAAAGCAAGCUUGGAAGCUUAUGCGAUGCAGUACAGUGUCGGGGGUUGGCAGGGGAGAGAAAAGCAAAGGACUUACAUUUGUUUUAGAAAUUGCUGCCAAAAGAUAAGCUUGUCUGUGCAACUAUAUGACUUCUGACACUGAGGCAGGGAGGAUUGUGAAACCAGGAUAGACAGAAUUUCAGCCAGCAAAUAAGUACACGUUCACUUUAGCCAGGGGGUGGGGUGGGGAGGCGGCUGGGAAGGGACUGAGUUUAUGAAGAGGCCUAGAGUAAUAGUUUCUGAAGCAUUACUUAUCUAGUGCUAGGCGGCAGAGUUCAUUUUGUUUGUAUGCGGUGAUUACUUGCAGUCUACAUGCAGAAAACCAGUUUAUCUAAUGAAGCGCAGGACUACAAAUAGAGGUUUCUUAAUAGAACCAGGCGACUGCCAUGGGCCUCACCCUGACCGCUGGGUCACAGAGCCUUACCAUCGGGGACUAGGCUUUGGGAGGCACUGAGGCAAGUUGGAGAAUUAGAAAAGGAGUCAGCCAUGAGUUAUGUCCUGGCUAUUACCGAGAGAUAAUCUAAAAAAUGAAAAUAAAGCUGCAUAUCAGGAGUUGGAAGCAAUGUUUUACUGAAGGGCAGUCCGGAGACAUGCAUUUUGUUUCCAGGUGUUCAAAUGCACUUCCUCUUGCUGAGGGGGCCCGAAAGCCUCCCGCUGGCUGCUCUGGGUCCCAGGUGCGUCCAGACGUUGCCAGACACACCUCUGUCAGUGUCCCGAAGGGCAAAUUCUAAAGCCAAGGCCAUUUGAUAAAGCCUGGGGAAUUUAUUGCAAGGCAGAUGGACACAGCAGCAGCACAUAAGAGCACACGCGUGGGGCUCCAGCCCGGCCACGGGGAGACCUUUUCUCAGCAAAGGGCAGCACUGCUCGCUUUGCUGGGGCAGCCCUCCCAGGAAGAUCCCAGAAGAGAUGGUCUGAGGUGUGUGAACACUGUGAAUGUCAUGGACAAAGCUCAGCGUGGGACCCCAUGGGACUUCAGGCCCUGAAAGCAGCAGAUCUCACCUGCAUUGGAGGAUGAGACGCCACAUGAAGAAGAAAGAAGACGCCACAGACAGCAGCGCAGUACCACCUUCCAGAGAUGUCCUAAAAACAUCCUGAGUUUCUUUGGCCUGCCAGAAAGUCACCUUCCUGACUCACCUGUAAGGCUGGGAACUCCAUAAUCCAGGUACCAGGCAGACUUUCCGGGAGGGCUUCAUAUGCAUUGGCUCCAUAAAGUUAACCUUAGUUCCUCAAAACUGUCUGUUCAUAUGUGAUUUUAUGUCUUAUUCUCAGUUGGAAAUGCAGAAAUCACCUGUCUUCUGCGUCGAUCAGGCUGGGAGCUGCAGACCGGAGCUGUUCCUAUUCGGCCAUCUUGGAAUGGACCCCCAUGUCUUAUUCUCAAAUAAAACAUUUUGGUCAAAGCCUUGAUUAUCUAAUCAAUUUUUAAAAUUAUGUUCUGUUACAAAAAGGACAGAUUCUUAUCGAACCCAUAUAAAAUAGUAUAUCACCAUUGAUACGGUUUGGAUCUGUGUCCCCACUCAAAUCUGAUGUUCAAUUGUAAUCUCCCAGUGUUAGAGGUGAG